rnacentral:rRNA from 1 species
AGUGAACGCUGGCGGUAGGCCUAACACAUGCAAGUCGAACGGCAGCACAGUAAGAGCUUGCUCUUACGGGUGGCGAGUGGCGGACGGGUGAGGAAUACAUCGGAAUCUACUUUUUCGUGGGGGAUAACGGAGGGAAACUUACGCUAAUACCGCAUACGACCUACGGGUGAAAGCAGGGGAUCUUCGGACCUUGCGCGAUUGAAUGAGCCGAUGUCGGAUUAGCUAGUUGGCGGGGUAAAGGCCCACCAAGGCGACGAUCCGUAGCUGGUCUGAGAGGAUGAUCAGCCACACUGGAACUGAGACACGGUCCAGACUCCUACGGGAGGCAGCAGUGGGGAAUAUUGGACAAUGGGCGCAAGCCUGAUCCAGCCAUACCGCGUGGGUGAAGAAGGCCUUCGGGUUGUAAAGCCCUUUUGUUGGGAAAGAAAAGCAGCAGGUUAAUACCCCGCUGUUCUGACGGUACCCAAAGAAUAAGCCCCGGCUAACUUCGUG